AUACAACGAUCAACACAUAUUAUAUAUGGAUUAACAUAAUGGGUAGUGAGAAGUAUACAUGACUAAAAAGAAAUUAUCAUAAUGGGCAGUGAGAAGUAUACAUGACUAAAAGGAAAUUAUCAUAAUGGGCAGUGAGCAUCGCGGAAGGUGUCCUGAAGAAUACCUAUAAAGGGGAGUGAGCAUCAUGUACACAUCUCCAUCUUCUUCCACAUAUACCACUAGUGCUGAGCCGCCUUUUGAAAGAAGCCGGCGGUGCUGUCCGUCAUGCAAUGAUAGUCCAGCGAGCGGUGUCUCCGUGACUCCGGCCACAUCCUUCGACCCUGCACGAAGGCAGUCUAGAGUUUUAUGGGCAGCACCGCGUGACCGCUCUUUGCUCGACGUCCUCGAUGACAUCGUCUCUGAUGACCGCUGCUUCCUCGACGUCCCUGACGACAUCGAGUCCAGCGACAGCUGCUUCCUCGACGUCCUCGACGAGAUCGUCCCCAGCAAACUCCAUCGACAAACACCAGUGCAGUGACGUCUAGACUGUAAGUUGCAUCUAGUCAUUCCUAGUACUAUAUAAAUCUAUGCAUGUUGUAGCCAAUUCUAUAUCAGGUUUAUCUAGUGUUUAUAGACUGUUUUCUGUUCCUACUACUAGUGGACUCAGCCGUGUCCUCUGUGUAUGGUAGACUCUAUCUCCAUGUUAAUCUGCCUAUACUACUACUUUGCUACCACUAGUAUGGUAGAUAGUCCUAGCUCUUCACGUAAUGUUUUUAUUUGCAUGCUAAUUAUACAUGGAUGGGUGCUAUCAAUCUGCUCAUUUCUGAAUCUGGGAUGCAUGCUUCAGAAGAAAACCAUGUGCAUGUUUAAUCUGCUCCUGUACGUACUAAUUAAAGGAAUUAAAUUAAUGAAUAAUUGUAUAUCACUUCUAACAACACUAUGAAUCUGGGUAUAUGCCAGUCACGCUGUCCCCUAGAUUUGCAUAACAAAGCAGAGCAUCAAUCAAUUAUUAGGAAAAAUAAACAGAGAAAGAGGAAGAGACCUUGUGUGGAAAUUAUGGUGGUCUACAGCUCGUCGGGCUAGGGCGUGAGCUCGUCUUCAUCCUCAUCAUCCUCUGCUAUUCCACUAGCAACAUUGGAGCCGCGCCGGUGACGGAGGCGACGCCGUGCCGAAAACCCUAGCCAUGGGGAGGGUUUGGGCACAAGCUAUGGAGACAGGGAGUGACGGAUCUGGCCGGAGUAGACGGCACAACAGAGGGAGGCGAGCUCGGGGAUGUGCUGCAUGCCGGCCAUGGACACUAUACCUGGAUAGAAUUGACCGUUGUUUGUGGCUGCAGAGAGGGAUCUCUUGGGAGAGAGAUGGAGAGUGAGAGGGCUCGUGGGAGGGAGAGAGGGUUGGGUGUUUCAUGGGGGAGGAUUCGAGAGCUGCCUGAGGUGAGGGAGGGGAGGGGAAGCGCGGCCGGCCGGCGGAGAGCUGCGAGAAGGCG
rnacentral:lncRNA from 1 species